GCGGUAGAACGGUGGCCGCGCAUGCGCACAGCGGUAGCAGCGCCCGGUGCUCGGCGGCAUGCAGGCGGCUUUGGAGAUUACGGCACGUUAUUGCCGUAACGAGAUGGAGCAGUACGGGCGGUGCGUGGCCGCCAGCCCGGCCUCUUGGCAACACGACUGUCACCGUCUCCGCCUCAGUAUGUCCCGCUGCGCCGCCGCUCACCCCAUCGUGCAGCAGAUUCGCCAGGACUGCGCGGAGCCGUUCGCCGCCUUCGAGCAGUGCCUGAAGGAAAACCAAGCCUCCGUCAUGAACUGCAGCGACCACGUCAACGCCUUCCUGCUCUGCGCUGACCAGGUGAAGCUCUCCACGUGAGGCUAUUCUACAUUUCCUUUUAAUUGAACGAGCGUGUGUGAUAUCCCACCGGUAUGCAGAACCCAGCUGUGGCACGGGAACCGCCACUCACCUUGGCUCUUUGGUUCUGGAACCAGACCUGUACCACCCGCACAGUCAAGCCCGUCUCAGCUGCCAGGGUCUCUCUCACCUGUCCACAAAACCCAGGGAGCUGAAUCAGAACUUAAGUUGCACUUAAAAGGAUCCCAGCCAGCAGUAGUACUGAGUGGCCUCCUUAUACCUUUCUGCAAGGCUUUGAGGAAACCUCAAACGAAGCCUUGAACGCCCGUCGCUGCUGCGUGAGCACUCCUUGUCGCUGCCGAUGGCUCUGGAGGAGAAGCGGCAGCCCAGCUCCCGGCUCUUCGGAUGGGUAUGAGCUGAGCAGCAAGUUAUUUGAGAACCUCUCUGACCCAUCAUGGCACAGAGAAGAUGCUGACCCAGGCCUGGGAAGGGUAAUUUGGGGGGCAUACGAUUGUCUCGAUGGGAUUAAAAGGUGUUAAUGAAGCAAGGAAUAAGCUGGGAGGCCUGUGCUUCAUGGAACGAGCUUAUUUAGUUAGGGUUUAGUCAAAAUGAAGCAGUCCAGGCUUAAGCAAGGUCUGUUUACUUAACAUUGAGCUGCAAAAUCCAUUGUAGCCGUCUGAAAUAUUGAAGUGGAACUUGCAAAGCCUCUCUCCAGAUUUCGGGCUGGGGGCUAAGGGUGUGAUGGGGAAGGGGACGCACAAGGGAAACGAGGAGGCAGCGCCAGCACAAUAUGCUCUUUCAUUCCCUACCGCAACAGCCAUUUCCCCCAAUUCAGCGAUACAGAGUGGCACCAGGGGAUUAAGGGGAAAAAAAUUUCCUUCUGCUUAGUUUCUGACUUCUUCCAGCACCGUUUGGGUCAGAGAGAGAAGGAGUAAUUCGGGGGCAACAGUUACCUUUGCUCUCCGUUCCCUGCAAAGCCCUUUGUGGCUUACAUUAAUAGAUUUACCCCCAGAAAGGAACUUUGUAAUUGUGUAAUUAUGUAAUUGUGGCUCUUGUCAGAAAUGGCCAAGACUCAAACAUACUCAAAUCUCCUCUAAUGUGAGCGUGUACACCAGAAAAGAAGUCUUCCGAAAUCAAAGCUUACCAAAGCCAAACUGCGUGCAAAGUUCAGCCCCGAGGAGUGGAAAAAACAAAUUUAAAAUAACAGGUGUUAGUCAUCUCACUUAAAUGUUUCAUUAAAAGGCAGAAGGAUGGGGUAGGAGUCGAAGAGCCACCGUGGCACUAUUGCUGUUGCAUCUUCACAGUCGCACAGAGGGAAUGACCCGACCUUCUCUAUCCAUCGCUGGAAAUACAAGGAUGAGGGCAGCGCCACGGUCGUGUAGAACAGAUGGAUUUUGGGACAGAGCAUGCAGCAAAGAGAUCUCCCCAGAGUUUUGCAUCUAGCACCAGGAGCAGCAUUUAAUGUAAUUGCGCUCGGUUAUAAAAAGUAACCAAAAAGCCUGCAUCUCCUAAGUGUGGUCCUGCUUGGCUGGACCCUGUAAAUGCCCUUGGCAUCCACCCAGAAGGUAAAAGGUGUUACAAGCUCUGCUCCCCGGGCUUGAUUCUGCUCAUGUCAGCGAUGAAAACUGAUGCUGGAAAAAAAAAAACCCAAACAAAACCCAACCACUACCGCUGCCGAAAACCUAAACCACAAGCAAAACAGAAAAGCAAAACAACACCAAAGAGGUUCCCAAAGCCAGAGAGAUUCAUAAAUAUUAAAGUGACACGAGUGAAAUGCUACUGAAAGAUUUAAUACAGUACUGCUGCUCUGUCCCUCAAGGGGUUAAACCCCCCACUGCGAGGAUAUUACUGCCAGCACGGUGGCACUGAGCCAUCACCAUAUAAUCUGAUGAACUCUUUUAUUAAAUUUCACAGGCCUGUCUUCUUUAUUAAAAUCUCCCAGAAUUCAUAGGGUGCCUGUCAUAUCACUGCUGAAUGCUAACAAAAAAUGUGGGUU